GAGGAACUAUGAACCCCAAGGGGGAGGUGCUAGCCAGGCUGUCUUCAGCUCCUGAGCCAUAAAACAUUCCACUUGACUACAGUUCAGACUACAGAAAACAAGUGCAGCAGACACGUCUGUAAUGUCAAGCCGUGUGACAGAUGGCAGUGGAUCAGAUUCCAACAGCAAGCUAGACAGAUUCAUAGAAUGGCUGAUGCAGAAGCUCAGUUACAUCAGCGUGACAACCGGCCAUGAUGAGUACAUGAAGGAGAUUGGAGAGAGGCAGCAGAGGAACGAGGAUUUGAACUGCGAGAGAUUAGUGCAAUGUGAACCAGCCAUGGCAGACGCUUAAAAUAAUAUUAUUCUUUCCUACAGUUUAUACUGUAGUGUAUGUAGUAUAUUUUUGCUACUCUAUAUAGUGUUUCUCAUGCUUGGCCUCCUAUAGCAAAAGAAAAUUAGAAAGUGGGGAGUGAUUGGGGAGAUGGGGGCGGGCUGGGGAAGUGAUUUAGAAAGUGAUCCGAGUGCAUCUGAAAACAAAAAAAUCUUUAAAAUUGACUGAGCCAAACCUGGAAAGCCACACAAAACAGGAAGGGAAGGAAAAGAAGAGACAAAAUAAAUAAGAAACAAGGGGGAAAAGAGAAACAGCAGCAUAAGGAAAAGAAAAUGAAUGAGAGACAGAGAAAGGGACUUUUUAAAGAGGCCGAGGGGAUAGGGGAGGCCCAAAAGAGACAUUCAGAGUCACUUGGGGAUAUAGCACAGGGCGACAAGGAGCUGGAUAAUCGGGUGUCUGGACAGAGGGCAGGAGAUGAAGACAAUGGUGAAGGAAACACUAGGGCAGUAAUCACAGGGGAAAGGACACAAGCUGUGGGGACGGGGACAGUAUUCAUGGAGCGGGACACAUGGGCAGUAAUUUUAAGCAGAAAGAAGCUAAUUAGGGUGACCAGAUGUCCCGAUUUUAUAGGGACAGUCCCGAUUUUGGGUCUUUUUCUUAUAUAGGCUCCUAUUACCCCCCACCUCCUGUCCCGAUUUUUCACAUUUGCUGUCUGGUCACCCUAAAGCUAAUGGAGGCAAUUCUCAUUUUACUUUGCCUUCCCAAUUAUAUAUAGUCACUGAGAAGAAACAGCUGCAGGAUCAUAAGUGUUUAUGGCAAAAAAAGUAACUAGGCAGAGCAGGCAGUGGUGGGUGUAGCUACAGUUGCUUGACACUUCUCACUACGACACCUAGUUAAAGACUGCACCGUGAUGCACACACACAAGAGGCGGGCAAUUAAAGCUGCAGAGCAAGCUGAAGUCUGCCAUUUCCUAAUGUUUGAGUGCUCGAUAUGGAGCCAAAUGGCUUUGUGAAUGUAACGUGGGACAUAUACUAAAUCACUCCAAUGAGUUACAUAAAUAUUGUAAAGAACAUUAAA